GAUGAACGCUGGCGGCGUGCCUAAUACAUGCAAGUCGAGCGAACAGAUAAGGAGCUUGCUCCUUUGACGUUAGCGGCGGACGGGUGAGUAACACGUGGGUAACCUACCUAUAAGACUGGAAUAACUCCGGGAAACCGGGGCUAAUGCCGGAUAACAUUUAGAACCGCAUGGUUCUAAAGUGAAAGAUGGCUUUACUAUCACUUAUAGAUGGACCCGCGCCGUAUUAGCUAGUUGGUAAGGUAACGGCUUACCAAGGCAACGAUACGUAGCCGACCUGAGAGGGUGAUCGGCCACACUGGAACUGAGACACGGUCCAGACUCCUACGGGAGGCAGCAGUAGGGAAUCUUCCGCAAUGGGCGAAAGCCUGACGGAGCAACGCCGCGUGAGUGAUGAAGGUCUUCGGAUCGUAAAACUCUGUUAUUAGGGAAGAACAAAUGUGUAAGUAACUGUGCACGUCUUGACGGUACCUAAUCAGAAAGCCACGGCUAACUACGUG
rnacentral:rRNA from 1 species